rnacentral:misc_RNA from 1 species
AUGUCCCAUUUACCAGAAUAUUUGUACAAUGACCGAGAAGAACUCGUACAAGGGACCCUUGAACGGGACAAUACAUGUCGUUGCGGGAGGAGGUGGAGCUGGUCUAGUAAAGUUUACAUCCCUCCAGACUAAGUGGAGUAUAUUCAAAGAUUACGAUUAUGGAUUUGUGAAGAUGACAGCAUUCGAUCAUUCAAACCUCUUGUUCGAGUACAAGAAGAGCAGCGAUGGCAAAGUGUACGACUCUUUCAAUAUUUCCCGGGAUUACAGAGACAUCUUG